CAGCCUGGUUCAAGUAAUCCAGGAUAGGCUGUUACCAGGCAGUACGGCCUAUUCUUGAUUACUUGUUUCAGGAGG
rnacentral:pre_miRNA from 11 species